rnacentral:tRNA from 1 species
GGACCACUGGUGUAGUGGUUUAGUUUUGGACUAUGACUCUGGAGACCAGGGUUUGAGUCCCUGCUCAGCCA